ACCCAUUGCAGCACCUUCACAAAGCCGAGGGGCUCCUUGACCACCCGGAACUGACCCCCAGCCACCAGCUGAGGAGAGAAACAGUGGGGAAGGGGUGGGGUUGUUGGAGGUACAGGGAGGUGAGCGGCAAGGCUGCCCGUCAAUGACCCCUGGGGAUGGAGCAUGUGACCUCGGGGAGGGGGGUGAGGAGAAAGUGACACCUUGGGGAAGGUGUGAGCCCCACGGUCCAAGAACUGGUGGGAAGGUCUGAAGAGAUGCUGAAUAAACUAAGAGGCAGAGAGGAAUUUUCCUAAGUUCACACAGCUGGUAAAUUGGUAGAACCAGGAUAUGAACCCAGGAAGUUUGGCUCCAGCACCUGUUACUCUUAGCCACUGUGCUAACUUAUCAGUACACCAUGUUUUUUUUUUUCAGCACACCAUCUUGUGUGUCUAUAAAAGAUACCUGAUAAUACUAUUUGCUUCCAGAGGGUAGGGAAACUUUUCACUUUAUACCCCUUUGUACCUUUUGAGACUCCAUCUCAAAUAAAAUAAAAAAAAAACA
rnacentral:antisense_RNA from 1 species